UACGUAGGGUGCGAGCGUUAAUCGGAAUUACUGGGCGUAAAGCGUGCGCAGGCGGUUCGCUAAGACCGAUGUGAAAUCCCCGGGCUUAACCUGGGAACUGCAUUGGUGACUGGCGGGCUAGAGUAUGGCAGAGGGGGGGUAGAAUUCCACGUGUAGCAGUGAAAUGCGUAGAGAUGUGGAGGAAUACCGAUGGCGAAGGCAGCCUCCUGGGCCAGCACUGACGCUCAUGCACGAAAGCGUGGGGAGCAAACAGG
rnacentral:rRNA from 1 species